GAGUGGAGAACAAAACCAAAGCAUACUAAAAAUAGGAGUGGCAGCUCUCACCCACCUUUGUCUCAUUGGGGUUGUUCUUAGCCCUUGCUAUGCUCUACAGAAGUGUAAACAUUUGGGAGCAAUGGUUGCUUCCCAUUCUUCAGAUGGAUAUUAUGAACUAAAGAUAAUGUUAAAAUCAAAGUCUACCCAAUAAAUAAACUAUAACUAGACAUACUUUAGAUGGAAGUUUAGUAAAUGUUUUAUAGUUUUCUAGUUAGGUGGUAGUGGCACAUAUUUUUAAUCCCAGCAGUUGGGAGGCAGAGGCAGGUAGUUCUCUAUGAGCUGGAAACCUGCCUGGUCUACAAAGCAAAUUUUAGGACAUCCAGGGCUACACUAAGAAACCCUAUUGCCAAAAAAGAAAAAAGAAAGAAAGAAAGAGAGAAAGAGAGAGGGGAGGGGAAGGAAGGAAGGAAGGAAGAGUACAAGGGAGAGAUAUUGUUUAUUCUAUUUACAUAUUUGAGAGAAAUGAAAAAUGUUGUGGAAAGAUAUGAACUACAAAUGUGUAUUCAUACUAACAUGUGUAAGGGUGAACUUUGUAUUGUUGGACUUGGGAAAUGGCUAACUGAAGGAAAUUAUGGAAUUUGUUACUAAUUUAAAAUUAAACUAACCCUUUGAGC
rnacentral:lncRNA from 1 species